AACGCGAAGAACCUUACCUAGCCUUGACAUCCCGGGUAUUUUUAGGAAACUAGAAAGUGCUUUCAUUAGAGAGAACCUGGUGACAGGUGCUGCAUGGCUGUCGUCAGCUCGUGUCGUGAGAUGUUGGGUUAAGUCCCGCAACGAGCGCAACCCUCGCCUUUAGUUGCCAGCAAUUCGGUUGGGCACUCUAAAGGGACUGCCGGUGUCAAACACGGAGGAAGGUGGGGAUGACGUCAAGUCACUCAUGGCCUUUAUGGCUAGGGCUACACACGUACUACAAUGGCCGGUACAAAGGGCAGCGAACUAGCGAUAGUAAGCGAAUCCCGAAAAGCCGGUCUCAGUCCGGAUAGGAGUCUCACUCGACUCCUUGAAGUUGGAAUCGCUAGUAAUUCGUGGUCAGCAUGCANACCAGGUG
rnacentral:rRNA from 1 species